rnacentral:misc_RNA from 1 species
GGAAGGAUCAUUACCAAAUCCACAACCCUGUAUCUUUCUUGUGUGCCACUGUUUUCCGGGGAGAGGCCGGCCGGCCGACCUCCGGACUUAUUCCAACCACAUUGAAACCCAACCGCUGACAGGUUCUGCGCCGCCGUGUGCGUGCGGAGAGCCCAUACAACACAAAACCAAUGAGAAACAACUUUUAACGGUGGAUCUCUUGGCUCGUGCAUCGAUGAAGAACGCAGCGAAAUGCGAUACGUAGUGUGAAUUGCAGAACUCAGUGAAUCAUCGAAUCUUUGAACGCAAAUUGCGCUCCUGCUUGUCAGGAGCAUGCCUGCUUGAGAAUCGGCAAACCCAACUCACCGGCGUGCUGUGUCGUCGCUUGCGACGCGCGGCGCGCUUCUGUGGCAGUGGAGCUUGCGCGGCCGGUCUGGCUGCGCAUGCACCGAAGAGGAUUGUUGCGUGGGAGGAGGCGGUGCGGCGGGCAGGGCCUCGAGUCCUGCUGGUUGCGCUUGCCCCCUCUGGCGCGCCCGCUGUUCUGUGGUCAGAGAGUCGAUUCUCUGGACAGACCCGGUUCGUCCCUGAGCUGGUGUGGUACGCUCUGGUUGCGCAAGCGACUGCGGCACACAUCUCCAUGUGCAGUGUCUGGGAACGGCCAGCCCUAGCGGCUGGGCUUGCCCGGACGCUGUCGCCAGCCCAUACGCCGGGUGUGCUAGAACGGCACGGGCGCGGGAAUCACCCCCGAAGCACGCCAAAACGAAUUGCCUGCGUCGCGCCGAGCUCUGCCCGGCCGACGCGGCCCGCAUCUUGAUCUCAAGUCAGGCAAGAUUACCCGCUGAAUUUAAGCAUAUUAAUAAGCGGAGGAAAAGAAACCAACAAGGAUUCCCCUAGUAACUGCGAGUGAAGCGGGAAGAGCUCAAAUUUGGAAUCUCCGCGGUCUCCGCGGCGAGUUGUAAACUAGAGAGGCGCUUUCUGCGGCGUGGCUGGUAUAAAUCCUUUGGAACAGGGUGUCAUAGAGGGUGAGAACCCCGUCUUUGACUGGCCAUCAGCCGCUGUACGAGGCGUCUUCGACGAGUCGGGUUGUUUGGGAAUGCAGCCCUAAAUGGAUGGUAAAUUUCAUCUAAAGCUAAAUAUUGGCACGAGACCGAUAGCGAACAAGUAGCGUGAGCGAAAGAUGAAAAGCACUUUGAAAAGAGAGUGAAAAGUACGUGAAACCGUUAAAAGGGAAGCGAUUAAAGCGAGCAGAUGCGCGGGAUCCAUUCAGCCCGAAGCAGGCGGAGCGUGCGGCGGUGGGAGCGCAAGCCCCAUGCGGUGCGGCGAGCCGAGAGCGGGUGCACUUGGGUGUCGUGGCAGGCCAGCAUCGGUCAGGGCUGCAGGAGAAACGUCGGCGGGAGGUAGCCAGCAUGAGCUGCGCGAGCCCGCCGGCCGGCACUGCGGCCGGGACUGAGGAUGACGCGGCGCGCGCCUUGUGUGGCGGUUCAGAAUGCAACGUCGGCGGCUGCGGACUGCGUGCAGUGCGUGGCGGCUGUGCGGGGCAGCAAGAACUAGCGCGCCUCGGAUGUUGGCGAAAUAGCUUUAACCGACCCGUCUUGAAACACGGACCAAGGAGUCUAACAUAUACGCGAGUCUUUGGGUGGCAAACCCGCGGGCGCAAUGAAAGUGAACAGGUGGGAGCCUUCGGGCGCACCAUCGACCGAGCUGGAUGCUUGCUGAAAGCUUUGAGUAGGAGCGUACAUGCUGGGACCCGAAAGAUGGUGAACUAUGCCUGAAUAGGGUGAAGCCAGAGGAAACUCUGGUGGAAGCUCGUAGAGGUUCUGACGCGCAAAUCGAUCUUCAAAUUUGGGUAUAGGGGCGAAAGACUAAUCGAACCAUCUAGUAGCUGGUUCCCUC